rnacentral:rRNA from 1 species
AGUCUGGUGCCAGCAGCCGCGGUAAUUCCAGCUCUAAUAGCGUAUAUUAAAGUUGUUGCAGUUAAAAAGCUCGUAGUUGGAUUUCGGCGUGCGCUCAGGCUGGUCGGCCGUCAAGGUCUGUACCGUUUGGGUCACGCCCCACUGUAGGAUACUCACCGCUGUCCUUAACUGGGUGGCGGUCAAAGGGGGUGUGCAUGGGGGCAACUCUGUGCAUAUCUCUGGGGUUCCUACUCUUUUACUUUGAGCAAAUUAGAGUGUUCAAAGCAGGCAAUCGAGCCUUGAAUACUUCAGCAUGGGAUAAUGGAACAGGACUGGGGUCCUGAUUUCGUUGGUUUCUGGGAUCUCAGUAAUGAUUAAUAGGGAUAGUUGGGGGCAUUAGUAUUUAAUUGUCAGAGGUGAAAUUCUUGGAUUUAUGAAAGACUAACUUCUGCGAAAGCAUUUGCCAAGGAUGUUUUCAUUAAUCAAGAACGAAAGUUAGGGGAUCGAAGACGAUCAGAUACCGUCGUAGUCUUAACCAUAAACGAUGCCGACCAGCGAUUGGGAGACGUUACAUGGAUGACUCCCCCAGCAGCUUGCGAGAAAUCACAAGUCUUUGGGUUCCGGGGGGGAGUAUGGUCGCAAGGCUGAAACUUAAAGGAAUUGACGGAAGGGCACCACCAGGAGUGGAGCCUGCGGCUUAAUUUGACCCAACACGGGGAAACUUACCAGGUCCAGACAUAGUAAGGAUUGACAGAUUUGAGAGCUCUUUCUUGAUUCUAUGGGUGGUGGCGCAUGGCCGUUCUUAGUUGGUGGAGUGAUUUGUCUGGUUAAUUCCGUUAACGAACGAGACCUUAACCUGCUAAAUAUGUCACUGGUAGACUUCUGCCAAAACAGGUGGGUGUCUAGGGGAAAGUUUCGAUGGACUCCGACGCAUUCAUCUGUGGAUGACUACCAGGAUGUACUUCUUAGAGGGACUAUCUGUAUCAAAGCAGAUGGAAGUUUGAGGCAAUAACAGGUCUGUGAUGCCCUUAGAUGUUCUGGGCCGCACGCGCGCUACACUGACAAGUUCAACGAGUUUAACACCUUGCUCGAUAGGGCUGGGUAAUCUUUGAAAAACUUGUCGUGAUGGGGAUAGAUCAUUGUAAUUAUUGGUCUUCAACGAGGAAUUCCUAGUAAGCGUGAGUCAUCAGCUCGCGUUGAUUACGUCCCUGCCCUUUGUACACACCGCCCGUCGCUCCUACCGAUUGAAUGAUCCGGUGAAAUGUUGGGAGCUGGGGUCUUUUGGCGGCGGGGCAACUCGUCGUCAGGGAUUCUGCAAACUUCAUUAAACCUUAUCAUUUAGA